ACUAUUCUCUGUCUCUAGCCGAUCAAUUUUAUUCUGCAUCCUGUUCAUUGUUUCAAUUGUAGGAGGAUCCACUGGGGGUGCAGACGUGUAUGAUGCAGAACAAUGAGAUGGCUCAUGAAAAUAUGCUGAGGCCUGGGACCCUAACCCAUAAACUCGACUCUUUUUCUGUCCGCCAACCGCUUCGUAGUACAGUUGGGCCUCAUUUAUGGGCGUCGGCUCAUUGCUUCCCUCCUGUUGAUGUGUAGCAGCCUCCUUCAGUUGUACGUAUUUAUCCUGCAUUAUAAAUUUAAAGUAACAUAUAAGUAAAACAAUUUAAGUCAAUCAAAAUUGUUAAUAACUACAUUUAAGAUGAACUUACAUAAAUAGCUUUUGAUCUCGCAUCAACAAACUCCUCCGUUCCCUUUCUCUUAUG
rnacentral:lncRNA from 1 species